rnacentral:rRNA from 1 species
CCAUUUGACCUCAAAUCAGGUAGGACUACCCGCUGAACUUAAGCAUAUCAAUAAGCGGAGGAAAAGAAACUAACAAGGAUUCCCCUAGUAACUGCGAGUGAAGCGGGAAAAGCUCAAAUUUAAAAUCUGGUAGUCUCUGGCUGCCCGAGUUGUAAUCUGGAGAAGUGUUUUCUGUGCUGGGCCGUGUACAAGUCUCUUGGAAUAGAGCGUCAUAGAGGGUGAGAAUCCCGUCUUUGACACGGACAUCCAGUGCUCUGUGAUGCACUCUCAAAGAGUCGAGUUGUUUGGGAAUGCAGCUCAAAAUGGGUGGUAAAUUCCAUCUAAAGCUAAAUAUUGGCAAGAGACCGAUAGCGAACAAGUACCGUGAGGGAAAGAUGAAAAGAACUUUGGAAAGAGAGUUAAACAGUACGUGAAAUUGUUGAAAGGGAAACGCUUGAAGUCAGUCGCGUCUAGCAAGGAUCAGCCUUUCUCGGAAGGUGUAUUUCUUGCUUGACGGGUCAACAUCAAUUUUGAYUACUGGAAAAAGGCCAGAGGAAGGUGGCACCUUCGGGUGUGUUAUAGCCUUUGGUCAUAUACAGUAGUUGGGAUUGAGGAAUUCAGCAUGCCUUCAUGGCUGGGGUUCGCCCACAU